rnacentral:rRNA from 1 species
CUUGGUUAAUCCUACCAAUAGUCAUAUGUUGUCUCAAAGAUUAAGUCAUGCAUGGUUAAGUAUGAACUAAUUCAAACUGUGAAAUUAUGAAUGGCUCAUUAAAUUAGUUAUAGUUUUUUUUAUGGUAUCUACUACUCAAAUAACUAUAGUAAUUCUAGAGCUAAUGUGUGUAACAAACCCCAACUUUUAGAAGGGAUGCAUUUAUUAGAUAAAAGGUUGAUGCAGGCUUUGGCCGUUGCUCUGAUGAUUCAUGAUAACUCUACAGAUAGCACAGCCUUUGUUCUAGUGAUACAUCAUUCAAAUUUUUGCCUUCUUAACUUUUGAUGGUAGGAUAGUGGCCUACUAUGGUGGUGAUGGGUGAUAGAGAAUUAAGGUUUAAUUUUGAAGAAGAAGUCUAAGAAACAACUAACACAUCCAAGGAAGGUAACAGGCGCAUAAAUUACCCAAUCCUGACAUGAGGAGGUAGUGAUAAUAAAUAUCAAUACCAGGCUCUAUAAGUCUAGUAAUUGGAAUGAGUACAAUCUAAAUCCCUUAAUGACGAUCCAUUAGAGGGCAAGUCUGGUGCCAACAGUUGGGGUAAUUCUAGCUCCACUAGCAUAUAUUUAAGUUGUUGCAGUUAAAAAGCUUGUAGUUGAAACUGGGGUUGGGUUGUCUAAUUUGCCUCACGAUGAGCAUUGGUCUACUCGUCUCUAUUAUUGGUAAUGUACUCUUGUCUUUAACUGGCCAAGUCAUUCCUCUGACACUAUUACUUUGAAGAAAUUAGAGUGCUCAAAGCAGGCCUACACUUGUAUUCAUUAGCAUGGGAUAACAUCAUAGGAUUUUGAUCCUAUUGUGUUAGCCUUCGAGAUUGAAGUAAUGAUUAAUAGGGACAGUCAGAGGCAUUCGUAUUUCAUAGUCAAAGGUGAAAUUCUUAGAUUUAUGAAAGGUGAACAGUUGCAAAAGUCUUUGUCAAAGAUGUUUUCAUUAGAUAAGAAAGAAAGUUAGGGGCUUAAAGACGAUCAGAUACCAUCCUAGCCUCAACCAUAAACAAUGUCGACUAGGGAUUGAUGGAUGUUACUAUUAGGACUUUGCCAACACCUUAUGAGAAAUCAAAGUCUUUGGGUUCUGGGGGAGUAUGGUUACAAGGUUGAAACUUAAAGGAAUUGACAGAAGGGCGCCACUAAGAGUGGAGCCUCUAGCUUAAUUUGACUCAACACAAGGAAACUUACCAAGUCAAACAUAGUAAGGACAGACAUUGUCUGGUUAAUUCCAUUAAUGAAUGAGACCUCAGCCUACUAACUAGCUACACAGAUAUGAUCCUUCAUGUCUAGCUUCAUAGGAGGACUAUGGCCGCUUGGGCUAAGGAAGUUUAAGGUAAUAACAGGUCUUUGAUGCCCUUAGAUAUUCAGGCCAUACUCGAACUACACUGAUGUAUUCAACGAGUCUAUAGCCUUAGCCAAUAGGCCGAGAUGAUAUUUGAAAUUUCAUCAUGAUGGGGAUAGAUCAUUACAAUUGUUGGUCUUCAAUAAGGAAUUCCUAGUAAGUAUAACUCAGUAGCUCACAUUGACUAUGUCCCUACCUUUUGUACAACCGCCCAUCACUCCUACCGAUUGAAUGAUUUGGUGAAGUGUUUGGAUCGUGACAAUGUGGAUGGUUCACUACCCGUGAUGUCAUGAAAAGCCCACUAAAACUUAUCAUUUAGAGGAAGGAGAAGUUAUAGCAAGGUUUUUGUAGGUGAACCUACAGAAU